rfam:Picea glauca, whole genome shotgun sequence.
UUAUAUAUUGUAUGAUAGGGGUUAAUGUGUUAAUCUAGACCUUGAAUAUACACCCACUAACCUUCUAAAUCAUCCAUGCAUAACCCAUAACCCUUCUAAAGACGCAAUGUGAUUUAUUCCCAUUGCUCUGCAUGUCAAAGUGAAUAAAUUCAACCAAGCGUGGGUAAACGAUGAGAGUAACUACGACUAUAUUAAGGUAUCUAGAUGCCUCGUCAUCUAAUUAGUGACACAUAUGAAUGUAUCAUUAACGAGAUUCCCCAUUGUCCCUAGAUACUAUAUUCUAGAGAAACCGCAUCCAAGGGAAUGGGCUUGGAAGAAUUAGCGGGGAAAGAAGACCCUCAUGUUGAGCUUGAAUCUAGUCUUAACCCAUUCAUAGUUUGGU